rnacentral:rRNA from 1 species
GACGAACGCUGGCGGCGUGCCUAAUACAUGCAAGUAGAACGCUGAAGAGAGGAGCUUGCUCUUCUUGGAUGAGUUGCGAACGGGUGAGUAACGCGUAGGUAACCUGCCUUGUAGCGGGGGAUAACUAUUGGAAACGAUAGCUAAUACCGCAUAACAAUGGAUGACACAUGUCAUUUAUUUGAAAGGGGCAAUUGCUCCACUACAAGAUGGACCUGCGUUGUAUUAGCUAGUAGGUGAGGUAACGGCUCACCUAGGCGACGAUACAUAGCCGACCUGAGAGGGUGAUCGGCCACACUGGGACUGAGACACGGCCCAGACUCCUACGGGAGGCAGCAGUAGGGAAUCUUCGGCAAUGGGGGCAACCCUGACCGAGCAACGCCGCGUGAGUGAAGAAGGUUUUCGGAUCGUAAAGCUCUGUUGUAAGUCAAGAACGAGUGUGAGAGUGGAAAGUUCACACUGUGACGGGAGCUUACCAGAAAGGGACGGCUAACUACGU